rnacentral:rRNA from 1 species
UAAAGACUCUCGGCAACGGAUAUCUCGGCUCUUGCAUCGAUGAGGAACGUAGCGAAAUGCGAUACUUGGUGUGAAUUGCAGAAUCCCGUGAACCAUCGAGUCUUUGAACGCAAGUUGCGCCCGAAGCCAUUAGGCUGAGGGCACGCCUGCCUGGGUGUUGCAC